rnacentral:misc_RNA from 1 species
UCGAAACUUGCAAAAGACCCGUGAACUAGUUAUCAAACGUGUGGGGAGUGUUGGGAGACAUCCCUUGGCUCCUUCGUGCCAGUGGUGGGUAAUUGUGUCGUUAUACCGGCAUGAUUGACCAGCAUCUGGACAAACUAACCAACCCCGGCGCGGCAUGCGCCAAGGAACUUCGCAAUAAAUGUGGAAACGCUACCGGCCGUUCCGAAAAUCGGAUAAGGCGGCCGUGUUGUGGACCACUUGUUCAUUACAAAACGACUCUCGGCAACGGAUAUCUAGGCUCUUGCAUCGAUGAAGAACGUAGCGAAAUGCGAUACUUGGUGUGAAUUGCAGAAUCCCGUGAACCAUCGAGUCUUUGAACGCAAGUUGCGCCCGAAGCCUCUUGGCCAAGGGCACGUCUGCCUGGGUGUCACACAUCGUCCCCACCGAAACAAAUACUCCUUGUAGGUGUUUGGUAAGAGGAUGGGCGGAUAAUGGUCUCCCGUGCGCGGUUGCUCGCGGUUGGCCUAAAAAUUAAGUUCCUGGUGAUAGCAAAGCCAUGACCAGCGGUGGUUGAAAGACCCUCGAUGGGUGUCGUGAGGACUUGCAUCGCAUGUUGGGAGAUUCUGACCUUGAUCGUGUUUGAGCACAUAUCAAACACUCAUGAA